rnacentral:rRNA from 1 species
ACUCCUACGGGAGGCAGCAGUGGGGAAUAUUGCACAAUGGGGGGAAACCCUGAUGCAGCCAUGCCGCGUGUGUGAAGAAGGCCUUCGGGUUGUAAAGCACUUUCAGUAGGGAGGAAGGUAGUGUAGUUAACACCUGCACUAUUUGACGUUACCUACAGAAGAAGCACCGGCUAACUCCGUGCCAGCAGCCGCGGGUAAUACGGGAGGGUGCGAGCGUUAAUCGGAAUUACUGGGGCGUAAAGCGCAUGCAGGCGGCCUGUUAAGUCAGAUGUGAAAGCCCGGGGCUUAACCUCGGAAUUGCAUUUGAAACUGGCAGGCUAGAGUCUUGUAGAGGGGGGUAGAAUUUCAGGUGUAGCGGUGAAAUGCGUAGAGAUCUGAAGGAAUACCAGUGGCGAAGGCGGCCCCCUGGACAAAGACUGACGCUCAGAUGCGAAA